rnacentral:rRNA from 1 species
GAUGAACGCUGACAGAAUGCUUAACACAUGCAAGUCAACUUGAACUUCGGUUUGGGUGGCGGACGGGUGAGUAACGCGUAAAGAACUUGCCUCACAGAUAGGGACAACAUUUGGAAACGAAUGCUAAUACCUGAUAUUAUGAUUUUAGGGCAUCCUAGGAUUAUGAAAGCUAUAUGCGCUGUGAGAGAGCUUUGCGUCCCAUUAGCUAGUUGGAGAGGUAACGGCUCACCAAGGCGAUGAUGGGUAGCCGGCCUGAGAGGGUGAUCGGCCACAAGGGGACUGAGACACGGCCCUUACUCCUACGGGAGGCAGCAGUGGGGAAUAUUGGACAAUGGACCAAGAGUCUGAUCCAGCAAUUCUGUGUGCACGAUGAAGUUUUUCGGAAUGUAAAGUGCUUUCAGUUGGGAAGAAAAAAAUGACGGUACCAACAGAAGAAGUGACGGCUAAAUACGUGCCAGCCGCCGCCGUAACAC